CCUACGGGAAGCAGCAGUGAGGAAUAUUGGUCAAUGGGCGCGAGCCUGAACCAGCCAAGUCGCGUGAGGGAGGACGGCCCUACGGGUUGUAAACCUCUUUUGCCGGGGAGCAACGGGCGUCACGUGUGGCGCCACUGAGAGUACCCGGCGAAAAAGCAUCGGCAAACUCCGUGCCAGCAGCCGCGGUAAUACGGAGGAUGCGAGCGUUAUCCGGAUUUAUUGGGUUUAAGGGGUGCGUAGGCGGUUCGUUAAGUCAGUGGGAAAAUGUGGGGGCUCAACCCCUUCCCGCCAUUGAAACUGGCGCUCUUGAGUGGAAGAGAAGUAUGCGGAAUGCGUGGUGUAGCGGUGAAAUGCAUAGAUAUCACGCAGAACCCCGAUUGCGAAGGCAGCAUGCCGGCUUCCGACUGACGCUGAAGCACGAAAGCGUGGGGAUCGAACAGGAUUAGAUACCCGGGUAGUC
rnacentral:rRNA from 1 species